GGCCAGUUGGUGUAAUGGUUAGCACAUCGGAUUCUGAUGUAAAUUCCGGGGAUGUUGGUUCGAUUCCUACACAGGCCU
rnacentral:tRNA from 1 species